rnacentral:rRNA from 1 species
AUUGAACGCUGGCGGCAUGCUUUACACAUGCAAGUCGAACGGUAACAUGCCUUCUGGUGCUGGCGAGUUGCGUACGGGGGCGUAAUGCAUCGGAACGUGCCCAGAGGUGGGGGAUAACGCAGCGAAAGCUGUGCUAAUACCUCAUGUGAUCUGAGUAUGAAAGCUGGGGACCAGGCAGCAAUGUUUGGCCUCGCGCCUUUGGAGCGGCCGAUGUCGGAGUAGGUAGUUGGUGGGGUAAAGGCCUACCAAGCCGACGAUCGGUAUCUGGUCUGAGAGGACGAACAGCCAGACUGGGACUGAGACACGCCCACGACUCCUACGGGAGGCAGCAGUGGGGAAUUUUGGACAAUGGGCGAAAGCCUAAUCCAGCAAUGCCGCGUGAGGGAAGAAGGCCUUCGGGUUGUAAAACGCUUUUGUACGGAACGAAAAGGAUCUGGCUAAUACCUGGGGAUGAUGACGGUACCGGAAGAAUAAGCACCGGCUAACUACGUG